rnacentral:rRNA from 1 species
UACGUAGGGUGCAAGCGUUGUCCGGAAUUAUUGGGCGUAAAGGGCUCGUAGGCGGUCCGUCGCGUCGGGAGUGAAAACUCGGAGCUUAACUCCGAGCCUGCUUCCGAUACGGGCAGACUAGAGGUAGGCAGGGGAGAGCGGAACUCCUGGUGUAGCGGUGGAAUGCGCAGAUAUCAGGAAGAACACCGGUGGCGAAGGCGGCAUCCUGGACCGGCACUGACGCUGAGGAGCGAAAGCCAGGGGAGCAAACGGG